CUCUCUCUUACUCCAUGUUGAAGAAGAUCCCCAUAUCCCUGAAUACCUCAACCACACAUGUCUACCGUCUUUGUGCGGAUCUGGUACUACAAAUGAAUACCCAUUCCCAAAUUGAAGCUAGUUUCUCGAUUUCAAGCGUCGCCGUCAUCAUUGCCACCUUCAUUUGGUCUCUUGUUGCUGAAAACUUUUAAGAGACUAUGAAGAGGAACACAAUACACAAGAGGGCUUUACUUUUUCGCUCCCAUUUCUUUGGUUUUUGGUUCCAUUCUUGGAGAAUGUCCUAAGACAUAAAUGAAGCAAGGACAUGGCCACUUGAAGGCUCAAACAGAAAGCUUUUGAGGUGAUCUCGGGAGUAGAUGAGUAUGGAUGACUCUCCCCACACCAAAAUACACUCACCCCAAGCUUCAGUGAUUUGCAUUUUUGCUAAUUUUUGCUCUGGUGUCUCUACUUGUGUACAUGUAUCUUGAUUUUGCUAAUCUAGCUUGUUAUAGCUUAGUAGCAUCAUUUUUU